UGGUGGCAAAAGACCAAAAUGUCAUUGGUUUGGUUAAAAGGGCAUUGGCUUGGGUGAGGGUAAAUUGGUCAUUUUGACCCUUGGGCUGAAUUAAGUUGGCCAAAGCUUAGCACUUUGGCUCAUUUACGUGACUUUCUAUCUCUCUCUCUCUCUUGGUUACCUUCUUGGAAGGGUUUUGGAGCUAAGGAGCAACUUGAGCUCUCACUUGGAAAUUGAAGAUUUGAAGGGGAGAAUUAAGGGCAAGGGAAGCAAAGAUUGAGCUGGCCGAGCCAUCUUCUUUCUUGGAAAUUUGUUUUUGGCAGUUAAGUUGGGGUGUGAUUUGGUGGUUGGAGUUCUUGAAGUUUAGCAACGGUUCAGGGGCAAAAUUACACAGUUGAGUUGGGGUGAGUUUUGAUGAGUUGAACUUGGAGAAAACGCAGGAGAAAACCCAAAAAUUAUGGGCUUGCGAGGUGGCGCCCCUGCAUAUGCAAGGGAGUUCCUGGGAACUCUCUGUCUUGUUUGGGUGCCCAAGCAAGGGCACCCCUACCCCAGGGGCAACCCUACCCUAUGUCAAUUUCAGCAAGUCUCAUUUUUCGAGCUUGGGAAGAACUUGGGGGACGAUUCCACCACCCCAUUUUGUUCAUCAAUAUUACUUCAAAUCUUAGUUGCAUAUUACAACUUUGCUCUAAAAUAAUAUACUUUAUCAUUUAAUAUUUUAUUUAUCUAAUAUAUAAAUUUUAAAAUAUAAUCAAUUUUCUAUCUUUGUAUUCAACUUAA